AUUGAACGCUGGCGGCAUGCUUUACACAUGCAAGUCGAACGGUAACAGGCCUUCGGGUGCUGACGAGUGGCGAACGGGUGAGUAAUGCAUCGGAACGUGCCCAGAGGUGGGGGAUAACGCAGCGAAAGCUGUGCUAAUACCGCAUGUGAUCUGAGGAUGAAAGCGGGGGACCAGGCAGCAAUGUUUGGCCUCGCGCCUUUGGAGCGGCCGAUGUCAGAUUAGGUAGUUGGUGGGGUAAAGGCCUACCAAGCCGACGAUCUGUAGCUGGUCUGAGAGGACGACCGGCGACACUGGGACUGAGACACGGCCCAGACUCCUACGGGAGGCAGCAGUGGGGAAUGUUGGACAAAGGGCGCAAGCCUGAUCCAGCAAUGCCGCGUGCGGGAAGAAGGCCUUCGGGUUGUAAACCGCUUUUGUACGGAACGAAAAGGCUCUGGCUAAUACCUGGGGCUGAUGACGGUACCGUAAGAAUAAGCACCGGCUAACUACGUG
rnacentral:rRNA from 1 species